UAUUGAGUGAGAGCAUAUCAUCCUUCAAGUGCUCUGAAGGUUACAUUAUGUGUGAAAGACUUCCCUUCCGCAAGGCGGAUGUACGAUGUUGCUAUACAUGUGCAUGUCGACGUCCUUACAAGACCUCCAACCUUCACACUGUGGAGUUGCACUUGCAAGUACUCAAGCACAAAAACCUAAGACAAUUUUACCCUCGGAUUGCUACUCCGACAAGGCCCCAAUAAUGUUCACGGAGGACAACGUGAGUUGAUCGUUUCCAUGCAAGUUGAUUUCGCCAUGUCUAAUCCACUCUUUCUUUUUCAACAUGAGAUGCUUCUGAUGAUAAGAACACCAAGAUCAGUAAACAUAAUAAGAUGGGUGUUUUGAAGGGCUGCUGCUGCUUCUUUCCCUAGCUCCGAGAAGUCCAUCUUGGAUGGAUGGCACACAAAGCUGUCUCAGUUCCUUGGAAGGCUGGAAAGCUGGCAGGAGUCUGAGGCCAAAACACUUGGGCUCUUCUUGCUUGCACUAUCACCAACAAAAAGCGAGGCAGAAAGUGUGGUGUCAUGCACUAGCCAGCCAGCCAGCCAGCCAGCCAAAAAAUUAUUUGACCUACUGGUGGUGGGGGGUCCUCAGCACCACCUCACAUUCUGGUGGCCACAGCCCAGUGGUGAGAGUGGGGUCCUGUCAUUGCCCUCACCAUGCAGAAUAAUGAGAGAGAAGGAAAAGGGAACAGUUGGAGCUUCUUUUGAGGAAAGAGAAGUACAGUAGACCACUCAAGGCACCUGGAGGCAGUUUCAGCAUUGUACAUCAAGGAUGGAUUUGAUGUGUUGAGGCUUUCAUCUCAGAUACUACUCUCAUCACUUGCACAGAGAGAGAGAGAGAGAGAGAGAGAGAGAGAGAGAGAGAAUGUGCAAAGAUAGAUAUGUUUAAUCCAACAAGUUAGAUCCUUGAGGCAUCAAGAACAUGAACCUGAGUAGAAGAAGAUGCCAUUAAACUUGGCCAGGACCCUGCUAGAGUUGGGUAGCAGAUGAAAUGUAGCAGUACGGCUGCUUCAUGCCAACAUGUGGGAUUACCAUGAGAAGAACAAACCUGUUGCUUCAGAUCUUUUUUCUCUUCAUACAUGGUAUUACGGUUCUUCUCUGUCAGAGAUCAGAUCUCAUUGCGAUGAGCUGCAUGAGGGAGAAAGAGCUCAAAACCGAAAACAUUCAGUACACUAAUCAACAUCCACAACAUAAAAUGUCAACCAUUUAUGUACCAGAAACAAAGUAAGUCAAGAUGCAUAUGGAUGGCUGCAUAAAACUUGCUCCUAGAGAGAGAGAGAGAGAGAUCACAGCUAUAUUUCUUGUGGCAACUGUGUAUGUAUGCUAUUUGUAAUCUUUCAACCCAAAAGAGCAUAAAAGGCAGAGCUCGUCAUCAUAUAUCUUGUUCAUGAUCAUGUGAGAGCAGUUGAUGCUCACAUGUUAUAUAAGAAAAUGAAUAGAAAUCAAUACUAUUAAAGCAAUAUAUCUUUAUUUGAGAUUCAAUAUGGAAGAGAGAGAGAGAGAGAGAGAGAGAGAGAGAAGCCCCAUCCAAAUAUUUCUCAGGGAUCUGACACAUCUGAACCCUAGAGAAUCUCAGCAGAGAGAAUGAGACUUACAUUGGAAACUAUUAUAAGCAUAUACAACCACACUGGGAGCAAAGGAAUUAAAAGGAAUAGAGAGAGGAAGGAAAUGCUGAUCCAACUUGACAAACUACCAAAAGUGUCUCUCUCAUUUACUCACAUUUCUAACGUUUACUCGAUCCAUAUCAAAAGAUGAAAGAAUCAUAAAAUCUCUACAAAAAUAACAAGCUAUCCUGUCACACACAUUGAAUAGGAAAAGAUACAAUAGAAUUCUCACUGGCAUACUUGACAUACAGAAUGGAUAUAUGCACGCCAUGCAAAAAGAUGUCUUCCAUUUAUUUGUAUCUAUGAUUUGUGGUGAAGCAGUAAAAUACCACCGAGAAGCAAAGAAAGGAUCUUUGCAUAGAAUAAGAACACUUACCUUACAUCUUCCCUCUAAGAAAUGACAAACAAUCACGGUUCUCUGAAACCUUCAAUCCUGUCUCUGACCAGCGCUUGAGUUCUGCAAAGGAAUGUAACCCAUCACCGACAACCGAACCUUAGAUUUGAGAUCAUAUGCUUCUUAUAUCCAAAUCUGAGCGCCAUAUGAAAUGACUGCAAGAUCAGAGAGAGAGAGAGAGAGAGAGAGAGAGAGGCAUGCUUGGCUCCUUGCACGCCACCCACAAUAGAGCCAAUCACCCCAUGAAUUGGUCUAUAUGUGUGGCAUACAGGGAGCCAGGCAUAACCCAUUUCACCUGCGCUCUUCCUCUACAUGGCAGAAACAAACCUAAACCUAUACUCACUCAUUCAAUGGGAGUAAAGGAGUGCAAAGGCCAUUUCUCUUCCCACUAUAACCAUCAGGCCGUGACUACAAAGCUGUUCCCCAUGGAGAAAUGGAUAGACAACAUGAUCUGAAACCCUACACCGCCUAAUAUUUGUAGAGAGAGAGAGAGAGAGAGAGAGAGGUAAAGAGAAAC
rnacentral:lncRNA from 1 species